UACGUAGGGUGCGAGCGUUAAUCGGAAUUACUGGGCGUAAAGAGUGCGUAGGCGGUUCUUGAAGUCCGCUGUGAAAGCCCCGGGCUUAACCUGGGAAUGGCAGUGGAAACUGGGGGACUUGAAUUGAGCAGAGGGGGGUGGAAUGCCGCGUGUAGCAGUGAAAUGCGUAGAGAUGCGGCGGAACACCGAUGGCGAAGGCGGCUUCCUGGACCGACACUGACGCUGAGGCGCGAAAGCUAGGGGAGCAAACGGG
rnacentral:rRNA from 1 species